rfam:Myotis davidii contig148163, whole genome shotgun sequence.
GCCCAUGUGGCUCAGUUGGUUGAGCAUCAUCCCUUGGAUUGAAAGGUUGCCAGUUCAAUUCCUGGUUGUGGGUU